UUGAUUAAGUUCGAUGAUUUCUCAUUAUCCGCCGGUUUCGAUUAGUCUGCCCUGUACACCUGCACUGAUAAUACCGCAGGUGUUUCCAAGAUAUGGACAAUUUGGUAAAUAUUCCUGACACUGUUUGAUCUGAACAGGCCCAAACAAGUGAAAAUGAUCGGCUUCUAUAGCAAAAUAUGGUACCUCACGGCAUUUUUGCUAGUGGAUGUGCUGAUGGCGAGCAGCGACCUGAAGCCUUUCUGCAGUUUCUUGCAUGUCUGCAAUAUAGACGAUAACAGCCAUGGGCAAAACUGUGUAGUGCCAAGUGAGCCAGAAAAACUAAAUCUCAGCGAUCCGGCUGCUAUGGCAGCCCAAUCGAAUCUUCAGCAAUACUGCUCGUUUCUCUUCGAAAAUGAUACCA